AGAAAUCACCUGCUGAAGACCCGGAGAGGCGGGAUCAGCCUCCGCCCAGAGCCCAGCCUGGACCAGCAGAGGCCAACCAGACGGUGUGCGGACUGUGCGCUCCGUGUGAGCCUCGACAUCCCUCACCUGCCCGGGCACAGGGCUCUAUGUAGUGGGCAAAACCAGGGAAAAAUUGGUUGGUGGGCAUCCUCCAUAAGAAGGGUCCAGGAAUGCCUCUGAGGAGCGCCCUCUGAGCCCCCACCCUGCCCCCUGCCCCUGCCUCAUGUGGCCGGGACACUGACGAGGGCCUGCCCCCAGGCCCCACAGCCCUCCCGCAGGUGGCCUCCCAUCAGUCCUGCCCCCUGACUAGGCCCCCAGCUGAGCCCUGCCCGAGUUCUGUCUGGCCGGAGUGAGUGGCCCUGCCUGUGUCUGCAGGCUCAACACCCCUCAUCAGCCACCUGCUCCUGCCAAGGGUCUUCUCUGUGUCCUGUCACCUCCAUAGACCCCCACGUGCAGCACAGAGCCAGAUGCUGGCCCUCUGCGUCCAUGGUCCAUCUCUCAGCCUGCGCUGGUGUUUUCCACCUCCAGCCUCUGCCCGUUCUUGGUGCCCAUGGACGUGUUUCCAGACCUCAUCUGCCAUCUCACUGAGAGUGCUUGCGAUGUCCUGAAACCCAGCCAUCGUCCACCCUCCGAACUCUAGCCGCUGUUUCCUACCCCAGCAUCUCCGGCUGCUUUGCCCGGCUCCACGUCCAGGGCUUCGAUGGGCUUUACAGGGCGCCUCUCCAUGCCCGCCUGCCUCGCGGCAGCCCCGGACUGCUGGGGUGGAGCACCUGUGCCGGGAGGCCUGCCGGGCCAGGGGCUGGACUGGCCCCCUGCCCCAGGGCCCCGGCCAUCUCCAGCUCCCCUCGCUCUGGGCGUGGGGCCUCCACGCCUGCUGGCUGCCCUGGUGGUGCAUCAGAGCAGCUUCCCCCUCAAUAAUGAUGCUGGCAUGGCGGGUGCCGGGGCUCAGCUCCAGCGGAUUUGUAGUGGGUUUGUAGAAAGGAAGCAGCAUUCAGCCACCCUGUGCCCUCCGGCUCCAGAUGGGUACUGGCCGGGCAGGGCCGGCUGGGAGGGGGCCCGGCUGGGACACCUGCUGCCUCCCGCCUGUGUCCCUGGGGGCUGGAGAGGGCCUGGAGGUGGCACCCUCAGGGUAUCAAAUCUGCCUGUACACAUGGGACUCUCCAGAAGUGAGCCCGCCCUCUGCGGAGCCUCCGGAAUGUUCUGUCAAGUUUUGUUGGAUUCAAAAGUAGGUCCACAUAUGGUUUUUGGCAUCUCUGCCCACGCUCAGCCAAACCAAGGGCUGUUCCCUGCCCUUCCUCCCAGACCUUCUCACGGGGCCGCUGGCCAGCACAGCAAGUUCUGGCCUCCGUUUUGGCUGGCGACUUGGACAACAGGCUCCUUGACCCCAGCAGUGCCUCAGAGGGAGAUCCAGUCGGCUGCAGGGCUCAUGACCCGAGAACUCCCGCACAGCCACAUGCAGAUUCCAGUGACCUCUGACCUGUGCUGAGGCCCUGCAGGCCCCCUGGGAAGACAGAAGACAGGGGUGCCCCCCUAGGGGACCCCAGGUUUCCUGGGUUACAGGAUGGCUCCCAGCACCACACAGACUGCAGCAGAGGCUGGCCACGGCCCCGGGAUGCCGACCCAUAGGGAAGUGGAUGUUCUCAGAACAUAAACUCACUCCAUCCAGCGCUCUGCGGCUCCCCUAAAUCCUGGGGUAGAAGGGGCUUCGUUUCCCCGCUGUGCAGACUCACGCGGACACAGGACACCAGGGGAGCCUGGCCUUAGCAGUCAGCGAGGGACCUGAUCGCGAGUUCUCCUCCUUUUCCUCCCUCUGCUCUUCCUUGCACACUUGCUGACAUUCACUUCUACUCUUGCUUCAGUGAAUUCCUGUCUCACCUACACUAGUCUGACCCGUCAAGAAUAUUUCUCCAUCAGUCAAGAGUCCUCCCCCGUCUGGACUGAGGUUUCCCCUAGUGCGCAGGGAGAGAUCUCCACAGAUGCAGCUGCCCAGCAACAGAACUAGGAGUAGGAGGAAACCACUUCAGUGUAAUAAACAGUAAGUGAAAAAUGUACAGCAGGCAUCAUACGCAGUGGUAAAAGAUCGAAAGGUUUUCCUUUAAGAUCAGGAACAAGACAAGGGUGCCCUUUUUUGUCACUUCUAUUCAACAUCCCACUGGAAGUGCUAGCCAGAGUGAUUAGGCAAGAAAAUAAAUAAAAGUCA